GAUGAACGCUGGCGGCGUGCCUAAUACAUGCAAGUCGAGCGAACGGACGAGAAGCUUGCUUCUCUGAUGUUAGCGGCGGACGGGUGAGUAACACGUGGAUAACCUACCUAUAAGACUGGGAUAACUUCGGGAAACCGGAGCUAAUACCGGAUGAUAUUUUGAACCGCAUGGUUCAAAAGUGAAAGACGGUCUUGCUGUCACUUAUAGAUGGAUCCGCGCUGCAUUAGCUAGUUGGUAAGGUAACGGCUUACCAAGGCAACGAUGCAUAGCCGACCUGAGAGGGUGAUCGGCCACACUGGAACUGAGACACGGUCCAGACUCCUACGGGAGGCAGCAGUAGGGAAUCUUCCGCAAAGGGCGAAAGCCUGACGGAGCAACGCCGCGUGAGUGAUGAAGGUCUUCGGAUCGUAAAACUCUGUUAUAUGGGAAGAACAUAUGUGUAAGUAACUGUGCACAUCUUGACGGUACCUAAUCAGAAAGCCACGGCUAACUACGUG
rnacentral:rRNA from 1 species